GAAGAAUCUCUUCUGGAGAUCUGCUCUGCUGGAGUUUUGUAGCUGAGCCUAGGAUACGGGUGCUUAGAAUAGGAAGCACUAGAUAGCAAGAUCUCUGACUUCAGAAUCAUGGAAGGAAAGAGUGCAGGCAGCUGGACUGUCUCAUGAUAAGCACAUAUGGGAGUUAUUCAGCUUUGUGGUAGGUGCUUGGAACAGUGCGUCCAUUGGCCUUGAGGAAGAAAUUAAGUGAGGAAGAAGGAGCUGAAGGAUGAAGAUAAGGAACAAGAAGAUGGACACCACCUGGAGAUGAUCUCCAUGGAACAAUGUAACAAUGAAGGGCUAAUGGUAGCACUGGUGUUGGGCAGCCUGGACUGAUACCCACCAAUAAGAUUCUGACAAGUGGACUCUAGAGGGUAUAUAAGAUACUGUUGAAUUUCAAUAAAUGCUAUUUUGCAGCAUCCCCCAUAUUGGUGUCUAUGGUGCAAUGGCCCUAGUGAGGAGAGAUUGCAGAUAGAGCAAGGAGAGAUUGCUAGCCCCUGCAGUGAAGGAUCCUGUAAUGGUGUGUCUGCGGCAAUCGGCUGCAUUAAGAAAAGACAAAUUGUCUUAGGCCGCAUAUAACAUAUAAUUGAGUUAACAUAUAUAAGUAACAAAACUUAAUUUCUACAUACUUUUUAUUAAAACUUAGAAAAAGAAACCAACAAUAAAAACAUAAAAGUAGUGGCGCACUUGACCUUGUUUUUGUGAAAAUAAUACAUCAGUGUCUGUUUCAGUGAAAGGGUUGCAAUUCUCAGUGAGUUCUCAUGGUGUUUGUCUGAGAUUUUUGAUGAAAUUUUACUCUUUCUGUGAUUUGUCCUUGAAAGCAGUUGUUCACGAAUGUACGUAAUGCCAAAAAGCAAUGACAUGAAUAAAGUGUGAUUAUUAAGCACAAGAUUUUUUUUUUCUGUUAAGAUAGGUCUAGUAAAGAGACAUGUUCAAUUUUUUCUUUGAAUUGAAUGUCUGAUUGCAGCUCUAUACAUAACAUUUGAAAAAGUGCAGGUAAUUUGUUUACGUCAACUGAAAAUGCAGCUGUGAGUAUACAAAGGAUUUUUUAAUUUUUUUUUUAAAUCUUGAACCCUAUUCUCAAAUUUCUUUAUCAAAUCUGAAUGCUUAGAUGUGUAUUUUUGGUUUUCAGAGGACAGUGUUUCACCAACAUAACAAAAUGCAUGGCAUUAUUUGCCAUAACUUGAGCUUACUAUAAUUUAAGUUUCACUUUGAAUGCUGUUGCAGUUUGAAACAUAGCACAGAUAAGUAGAUUUUCACCUUGAAGAUGCGUACUUAACUCAUUUAAAUGAGUGAUCAAAUCCACUAAGAAUUCUAAAUCUGUGAGCCAUUUUUCAUCUUCAAGUCCUGGCAUAAAUUUUCCCUUUGAUUCCAUAAAUGACUUGAUUUCAUUUUGUAAAUCAUAAAAUCCUUUUAGCACUUGACUCUGACUUUAGAGAACCAAACAAUGUCCUCACAAUCAGCAUCCAUGUUUUUAAGGAACUUCUGGAACUGGUGAUGAUUCAGUCUGUUGGACACAAUGAAAUUCACAGAUUUGUUGAUGAUUUGCAUGACAGUAUCUACUUUUAAGCCUUCCACCCAUAGAUUUUCUUGAUGUGUGAUGCAGUGAUAUUUCAUCAAACAUGAGUUGCCUGUGGCAAUUGCAUAAUCUUCUAUUAAUUUUGUAAGCCCCUCUUUUUUUUAUCAACCAUUGCUGAGACAUCAUCAGUAGCUAUAGUGGAUAUGUUGAUGUGGGUUAAAGAAAAUUGCUUUAAUGUAAUUUUUACUGCUUCAUACAUACAAAGAGAUUUAAAUGUGUCCCGCAGUGGCACCAAAGAAGCCAUUUCUUCAGUGACAUUAUAUUCAUCUUCAGUGUCUCUAAUGCAAAUGGCAAGUUGAGUCACAUCUGUAGCAUCAGUACUUUCAUCUACUGCUAAAGCAUAAUCGCAGCUCUGCUCUCUAAAUUUCUUUCAACGGUUUUUCCUAUUUCUUCAGUUCUCCUUGCUACAAUCUACUGAGACAAACUCAGUUUAGAAAAAUCUGCUUAUCAGGACACAUUAUAUCUGCCAUAUUUUCCAAACACUUGUUUAAUAAACUCACCAUUGGUAAAUGUUUUUUUUUUUCUUUGCAAUCAGGCAACUAUCCUUUUUGACAGUCUGUUCGAAUUUUAACUUUU